CACGUAGGAGGCGAGCGUUGUCCGGAAUCAUUGGGCGUAAAGAGCGUGUAGGCGGUCCGGUAAGUCGGCUGUGAAAGUCCAGGGCUCAACCCUGGGAUGCCGGUCGAUACUGCCGGACUAGAGUUCGGAAGAGGCGAGUGGAAUUCCCGGUGUAGCGGUGAAAUGCGCAGAUAUCGGGAGGAACACCUAUGGCGAAGGCAGCUCGCUGGGACGUUACUGACGCUGAGACGCGAAAGCGUGGGGAGCAAACAGG
rnacentral:rRNA from 1 species